rnacentral:rRNA from 1 species
GACGAACGCUGGCGGCGUGCCUAACACAUGCAAGUCGAGCGGUAAGGCCUUUCGGGGUACACGAGCGGCGAACGGGUGAGUAACACGUGGGUGAUCUGCCCUGCACUUCGGGAUAAGCCUGGGAAACUGGGUCUAAUACCGGAUAUGACCUCCUAUCGCAUGGUGGGUGGUGGAAAGAUUUAUCGGUGCAGGAUGGGCCCGCGGCCUAUCAGCUUGUUGGUGGGGUAAUGGCCUACCAAGGCGACGACGGGUAGCCGACCUGAGAGGGUGACCGGCCACACUGGGACUGAGACACGGCCCAGACUCCUACGGGAGGCAGCAGUGGGGAAUAUUGCACAAUGGGCGAAAGCCUGAUGCAGCGACGCCGCGUGAGGGAUGACGGCCUUCGGGUUGUAAACCUCUUUCAGCAGGGACGAAGCGCAAGUGACGGUACCUGCAGAAGAAGCACCGGCUAACUACGUG